GAGUAGUUUAGUGGUUGGAGUAUUAGCCUCCAACACUAAUGUACUUGGGUUCGAAUCCUGUCAGUGACA